AACUAACGCUGGCGGCGUGCCUAACACAUGCAAGUCGUACGAGAAAGUUGGCUUCGGCCGAUGAGUAAAGUGGCGCACGGGUGAGUAAUGCGUGGAUAAUCUGCCCUUUAGUUGGGAAUAACGUACCGAAAGGUGCGCUAAUACCUGAUAAUACUGCAUAACUACUGUUGUGUAGUCAAAGAAGGCCUCUGUUUACAAGCUUUUGCUGAAGGAUGAGUCCGCGUACCAUUAGCUGGUUGGUGGGGUAAUGGGCCUACCAAGGCUACGAUGGUUAGCUGGUCUGAGAGGAUGAUCAGCCACACUGGAACUGAGACACGGUCCAGACUCCUACGGGAGGCAGCAGUGAGGAAUAUUGCGCAAUGGGGGCAACCCUGACGCAGCAACGCCGCGUGAGUGAGGAAGGUUUUCGGACCGUAAAGCUCUGUCGAGCGGGAAGAAAUGGUAUCAUGGCUAAUAUCCAUGAUACUUGACGGUACCGCUAAAGG
rnacentral:rRNA from 1 species